rnacentral:rRNA from 1 species
GACAGAGGGUGCAAACGUUGUUCGGAUUUACUGGGCGUAAAGCGCGUGUAGGCGGCUUCGUAAGUUGGAUGUGAAAUCCCACGGCUCAACCGUGGACGUGCAUCCAAAACUACGUCGCUGGAGUCUCGGAGAGGAAGGUGGAAUGCUUGGUGUAGAGGUGAAAUUCGUAGAUAUCAGGAGGAACACCAGUGGCGAAGGCGGCUUCCUGGACACCAACUGACGCUGAGACGCGAAAGCGUGGGGAGCAAACAGG